GCCCUGAUAGCUCAGCUGGAUAGAGCAACGCACUUCUAAUGCGUAGGUCACAGGUUCGAAUCCUGUUCAGGGCACCA
rnacentral:tRNA from 1 species